GGUUUGUAUUAUGUGUGAGGAAAGGUUGAUAAAGUUAGUUAAGUUAGGCAAGGUUUGUAUUAUGUGUGAGGAAAGGUUGAUAAAGUUAGUUAAGUUAGGCAAGGUUUGUAUUAUGUGUGAGGAAAGGUUGAUAAAGUUAGUUAAGUUAGGCAAGGUUUGUAUUAUGUGUGAGGAAAGGUUGAUAAAGUUAGUUAAGUUAGGCAAGGUUUGUAUUAUGUGUGAGGAAAGGUUGAUAAAGUUAGUUAAGUUAGGCAAGGUUUGUAUUAUUUGUGAGGAAAGGUUGAUAAAGUUAGUUAAGUUAGGCAAGGUUUGUAUUAUGUGUAAGGAAAGGUUGAUAAAGUUAGUUAAGUUAGGCAAGGUUUGUAUUAUUUGUGAGGAAAGGUUGAUAAAGUUAGUUAAGUUAGGCAAGGUUUGUAUUAUUUGUGAGGAAAGGUUGAUAAAGUUAGUUAAGUUAGGCAAGGUUUGUAUUAUGUGUGAGGAAAGGUUGAUAUAGUUAGUUCAUAAAGUUCGGUACCGUAAGAAAUAUUGAUUGCAUUUUUGUUUCCCUUACGGUAAGAAACAUAGAUUAAAUUAGUGAUGGUCUUGAGGCGCUUUCACAGUCCAACACAGUGGCUUGUAGUCGCCCGAACCAAACUUUUCAAUCUCCUACACUCCACAAUGGUCAGAUUUUCGAUGCAAGACCAGUAGACACAAGAGCUUCUCCGUAUAGUUUCCUCAAAAUUAUUAAUAUCUUACCUUAAAUAUAAAGACCAAACUGUACACAAGGAAUUUUCGAAGUCUUUGGUAUUGGUUUGGAAGAAGUUUGGCAGAUUUUCGAUGCAAGACCAGAUACACACAAGAGCUUUCCGGUAUAGUUUCCUCAAAUUUCUUAACUUAAAUAUCAAGACCAAACUAUUUACAAGGCAUUUUCAAAGUCUAUGGUAUUGGUUUGGAAGAAGUUUGGAAGAUUUUCGAUGCAAGACCAGUAUACACAAGAGCUUUUCCGUACUAUAGUUUCCUCGAAUUUCUUACCUUGAAUAUGAAGACCAAACUAUUUACGAGGGAUUUUCAAAGUCUUUGGUAUUGGUUUGGAAGAAGUUUGGAAGAUUUUCGAUGCAAGACCAGUAUACACAAGAGCUUUUCCGUAUAGAUAUAGAGAUGCAACAUAGGAAGGGUGAAAAAUAGAAAGGAAAGAAGGAUAAUGAAGACGAAACUGUACAUAGGUAAUUUUCGAAGUCUUUGUUAAUGGUUUGGAAGAUUACUAACCCAUCAUGUCGAACUGUGAAAGUAGCCCCUUGUCUCAUUUGGUCGUGGUGGUGAUAGAUUCUGUUUUUAUACAUAUAUAUUUUUUUACAUAUGUUUUUUAUUAGUCUAUAUCUUACCGUAAAAUGAUAAAAAAAGACAUUAAACUAGUGGCGAUGAUGAUAUAGUCUAUUCACAUAAGUCCGACCCAAGCUGACAACAUAAACCUAUAAGCGUGUUUGCAAGCUGAGUGCUGAUUGGCUACUGCUAUGGCUUCCAAGUGUGUUUUAACCUCUGUUUGUGUUAUCUCACGCAUCACCUUCUGCUAAUCUGCACUGUGCUUACGAACACGCUUAGGUUUAUGUUGUCAGCUUGGGUCAGACUUAAGUGAACAGAUUAUAGUGAUCGAUACCGGAUCUUGAUUUGGUUUAUAUGUGUGUUGGUGGAUGGCGGUGAUGCUGGUGUUGGUGACGGUGGCUGUACGCGCUGAGCCACCCCCCUUCUGCAUAAUUUCAAAGUGAUCGUAAUGGCGUUAGUGGU